UUGGUUCAGUAGUAGAAUCCUUGUCUGCCCCACAGGAGACCUGGGUUCAAUUCCCAGA
rfam:Alligator mississippiensis ScZkoYb_3.1, whole genome shotgun sequence.